rnacentral:tRNA from 1 species
CCUGUAAUGGCAGAAUAAUAUGUAUAAAAUUUAGGAUUUUAAAAUGGAAUACUUUCCUUUCAGGA